GUCCACGGGAGCCGAGCCGGGCCAAACCCAGCUGCUGCCGCGGCCUCCUUCUCUUCGCGUCCCCCCCACCCGCCGGCGCGGAGUUGGCGGCGGCCUCAGGCUUUGUCCCCGCGCCCCCGGCCCGCGCCGCCCCCCGCGGGGCGACCGCCUGCGGCCGAGCCCGGCACCGCGGCCCCGGCCCGCGCCGCUCCGCACGCCGCCUCCGCGCGCCCCCCUCCCGCUCGCCGCCAGCCCGCCCUCCCGGAGGCGCCGCCGGCAGCGCCGCCUCCGCCCGCGGGGCCCGGGCCGUGCCGGGGGAGGAGGGGGAGCAGCGCCGCCGCCGCGGCCGGGCCCGUCCCCCACCGCCUCCCCCGAACACCAUAGGCGGCUCCGGCACCAAGAUGUCCAACCGGGUGCUCUGCCGGGAGGCCAGCCACGCCGGCAGCUGGUACACAGCCUCAGGACCCCAGCUGAAUGCACAACUAGAAGGUUGGCUUUCUCAAGUACAGUCCACAAAAAGACCUGCUAGAGCCAUUAUUGCACCCCAUGCGGGGUAUACCUAUUGUGGAUCUUGUGCUGCCCACGCUUACAAACAAGUGGAUCCUAAUAUCACUGCAGGAUUGUGGGCUGAAUGCUACCAGGAUUCUCUUCUGCUGUGGAGAAAGUGACCAGUGUGUGUGUAUAUAAUAUUUGAAGACAGUGAAAGUUAGUUGUAAUGAUUUUAAAUGGACUUGUAUUUCUAACAGCACAAGUGCUUAAAAAAAGAGAAAUUAAAGAAACCCCAACACUGUACUGUAGUCUGUGCCUGCCUCUGAAAAUAUUAAUCCAGUUAUUCUGUGUUAAAAUAAUAGAAUUUUUAUGUGUUCUGCUGACUGCAACAGUUUUUUAAAUGACAAAAAUUUAAAACAUCUUCAGUAUUUACUUGAAGUAUGUAUUUUGAAAUGUUAAUGUAAAAACUGGCUGUGUCUAUCAGUUGCUUAUGUGAUAACAUGUCAUAAUGCUUUCCGAAGAAAAUGGUUCUGAUUCUUGCUAAACUAUUGUAAUCAAAGUGAAAGUAGCUUUAUGCUGUGAGACAUAACUAGCUUCUCUAAAAUUUCUAGAACAAGUUGCAUUCCCCAGAUUCACUGGCAUGGAGUUGAUUGAGCUUUCUGGAUCAUUUGCUGUUUCACCACAUGGGAUGUUUACAAUUCAUCUUUCAGCUGAACUAUUGCACGUUCGGAUAUUUUGCUUUUAUGAACUCUGUAAAAAGUUUUAGUAUUUUACUAUAGCUUGCUACAACACUUCACAUGUAAAGGGGGGGGGUAAUCUUUACAUAUCUCCCACCCCUUUAGUUCAGUGCCAGAAACAAGAUGAUAUGAUCCUGAAUCUGAAAAGCUGAAUUUCCUAUAGGUUGUGUUUUGUUUUUUUCUUUAAGUCCUGUGGCAGGAGACCCUUAACAUCUAAUCAAGAGCCAGGAACUGAGGACUUGAUGAAAUAACAUCAUGGUGACGUGUGAAAGCUUGCAGUGUCGGCUAAAGCUACGAAUGUGCAGGUCCAAGUCCCUGUUGUUGAUGCAACAGCUGGAUAAAAAUAGCAUUUGAGAAUGACUUAAAUUUGUAUGUAGUGAAAUCUGAAGUAAAGCUAAUCAAGUAAAUAAGUGAAAAGCUCUGAAUAGAUGAUAAAUCCAUAAUCCUAAUUUGAGGGUAUGUAUCUGUAGUUGUUGAAGGUGUUAUGUAACUGAAGGUUGUGUUAUUCCAAGGAGAAAAUCCAAAAAUGUUCUAAGGAGCUAUAACACAUCAUUCAGCCUCCAAAUGAGUCCGGUCAGACAGAUUUCUAGCUGAUGCGUGCCCUCUGAUAUGCAACCUGCUUAAGAGGUUUAAGGCUAUCGAAGCAUUACUGAACAGAUCCCAUGAUCAUUUCUGAGAUACUGAGCAAGACUAGGCCAUGGGCUGAUCUGUGGUCUUUACACACAGCAGAGUAAAACUCUACAGGUAACCACCCGAAAGUAUCAUUUUGUAUGUUUUUAUUGAACUUGUUACUCUAAACCAAGUGUCUGUACAAUUGCAGUUGUCUGAACUGUGGGCUUUUGUGUUAACUGUUGUAGCCGAAAAAUUUUCAUUCUUGGGCCUUCCCAUCACGUGCCCCUUUCCCGAUGUGCACUUUCCAGUGUGGACAUUUAUAGAACACCUCUGUAUGAUCUCCGAAUUGACCAAAAAAUUUAUGGAGAACUGUGGAAGACUGGAAUGUUUGAGCGUAUGUCCCUACAGACAGAUGAAGAUGAACACAGUAUUGAAAUGCAUUUGCCUUACACUGCUAAAGCCAUGGAAAGCCAUAAGGAUGAGUUUACUAUUAUUCCUGUGUUGGUCGGAGCACUGAGUGAGUCAAAAGAGCAGGAAUUUGGAAAACUCUUCAGUAAAUACCUAGCUGAUCCUAGUAACCUCUUUGUGGUUUCUUCUGACUUUUGCCAUUGGGGGUAUGAGCAUUAUAGAGCAGCUAGAUCCUGUAUCUUUUAGCAAUUACUUGAAGAAAUACCAUAAUACAAUAUGUGGAAGACAUCCUAUUGGGGUAUUAUUAAACGCUAUCAACGAGCUCCAGAAGAAUGGGAUGAAUAUGAGCUUUUCAUUUUUGAAUUAUGCUCAGUCAAGCCAGUGUCGAAACUGGCAAGACAGCUCAGUGAGUUAUGCAGCUGGAGCACUUAUGGUCCACUGAACCGCUGAAUGCUCAGGGAUGGCACCUGCACACACUCUGUAUACGGGGUCCCAGCCUAGCCCUUACAAAGAUACGGUCCCUGGUCUUUGGGUAUACUGAAACCUCAAACUAAUAGAACUCUUCUUUUCUAGUAGGUGUAGUCCUUCCUUAGUUUAAACUCAUUUAAAAAUGCUUUCUUGUUUAGGACAGUGGAAGGAAGGCUGGUAUCAAAACAUUUUGUGAUUUUUAUUUUUUUUGGGGGAAAAGAUGAUGGCUGUGAAGGCAUGGUGGCAGACAGUCCUUACAAAUACAUGUAAAGCAUUUACCGUAUCCUAAAUUUGCACUCUCUGCAGACCUGUGCACAUAUACUCAGCUUUCAGAAUAGUUUUGCAAGUUGUAAACAGAAAAAGGAGUGGAAGCUCUUGAAUGAAAGAAAAAAGAAAAAAAAAAAAAGGAAAACAAUGCAUUUAUAAAUGAUCCUGUAUUAGAAUAUAAUAAAACUCCAGUAUAGUCAGUUACUACCCGUGAUGUACAACAGAUAUCUUCUAUUUUAGUUGCUAAUAAAGGGCUACACAAACCAAAA